rnacentral:rRNA from 1 species
CAAUAGAUACCCGGGUAGUCCACGCCCUAAACGAUGUCUACUAGUUGUCGGGUCUUAAUUGACUUGGGUAACGCAGCUAACGCGUGAAGUAGACCGCCUGGGGAGUACGGUCGCAAGAUUAAAACUCAAAGGAAUUGACGGGGACCCGCACAAGCGGUGGAUGAUGUGGAUUAAUUCGAUGCAACGCGAAAAACCUUACCUACCCUUGACAUGUCAGGAACCUCCGAGAGAUUGGAGGGUGCCCGAAAGGGAACCUGAACACAGGUGCUGCAUGGCUGUCGUCAGCUCGUGUCGUGAGAUGUUGGGUUAAGUCCCGCAACGAGCGCAACCCUUGUCAUUAGUUGCUACGCAAGAGCACUCUAAUGAGACUGCCGGUGACAAACCGGAGGAAGGUGGGGAUGACGUCAAGUCCUCAUGGCCCUUAUGGGUAGGGCUUCACACGUCAUACAAUGGUACAUACAGAGGGCCGCCAACCCGCGAGGGGGAGCUAAUCCCAGAAAGUGUAUCGUAGUCCGGAUCGCAGUCUGCAA